CGGACGGGUGAGUAAUGUCUGGGAAACUGCCUGAUGGAGGGGGAUAACUACUGGAAACGGUAGCUAAUACCGCAUAACGUCGCAAGACCAAAGAGGGGGACCUUCGGGCCUCUUGCCAUCGGACGUGCCCAGAUGGGAUUAGCUAGUAGGUGGGGUAACGGCUCACCUAGGCGACGAUCCCUAGCUGGUCUGAGAGGAUGACCAGCCACACUGGAACUGAGACACGGUCCAG
rnacentral:rRNA from 1 species